rnacentral:rRNA from 1 species
AUUGAACGCUGGCGGCAUGCCUUACACAUGCAAGUCGAACGGCAGCACGGGGGCAACCCUGUGGCGAGUGGCGAACGGGUGAGUAACACAUCGGAACGUGCCCAGUAGUGGGGGAUAGCUCGGCGAAAGCCGGAUUAAUACCGCAUACGACCUACGGGUGAAAGCGGGGGAUCGCAAGACCUCGCGCUAUCGGAGCGGCCGAUGUCAGAUUAGGUUGUUGGUGGGGGAAAGGCCUACCAAGCCGACGAUCUGUAGCUGGUCUGAGAGGACGACCAGCCACACUGGGACUGAGACACGGCCCAGACUCCUACGGGAGGCAGCAGUGGGGAAUUUUGGACAAUGGCGCAAGCCUGAUCCAGCCAUGCCGCGUGCGGGAAG